AUUGAACGCUGGCGGCAGGCUUAACACAUGCAAGUCGAGCGGGAACGGAGGUAGCUUGCUACCAGACGUCGAGCGGCGAACGGGUGAGUAACGCGUAGGAAUCUACCUAGUAGAGGGGGAGUAGCCCGGGGAAACGUACGGAUUAAUAACCGCAUACGCCCUAACGGGGGAAAGGACAGGGGAGUCUUCGGACCUUGCGCUAUUAGAUGAGCCUGCGUCGGAUUAGCUAGUUGGUAGGGUAAAGGGACCUACCAAGGCGACGAUCCGUAGCUGGUCUGAGAGGAUGAUCAGCCACACUGGAACUGAGACACGGUCCAGACUCCUACGGGAGGCAGCAGUGGGGAAGUAAUUGGACAAUGGGGGCGAACCCUGAUCCAGCCAUGCCGCGUGUGUGAAG
rnacentral:rRNA from 1 species